rnacentral:misc_RNA from 1 species
GCCGCUUUCUCCGACCGGAUUCUGACGAUCCAGAUUGUUCCGAACUCAAAAUCCGACGGUGAGGGAUGUAGCAGUACUGCCGGCGAUUUGGACCGGAAACGGAAACGUAGAAGAGAAGAAACCAGUAAACAAAAUGAUGCAGAUGUGCUCACGCAACGCGAGGACAAGGUUUUGAAUUGUACUAUGCUGGAUACAGAAGUCCUUGCUUAUGAGAACCAAGAUGAGGAAGCUGUUGCAAUGGCUGAGGAAUCUUCAU